rnacentral:lncRNA from 1 species
UUUUCUUCUGUUUCUGUGAAUAUUGAAUAUUUAGUACACAUUUAUGAUAGAAAACAUUAUUAUUAGUGUUUUUGAUAUAUUUUUGUGUUUCUAGCUUUGAUUUUUUUUUUGGGCCCUGGUUAAAAAAAAAUCAGAUGUAAUGGUUUUUUUAUAGCUUUCUUUUGGGUUAUGGACAGGACAAAAACACCCCAACAACAAUAAUCAUCAAGUAUGAGUUUAAAUGACUGCAGAGAUCUAGAGUAAAUAUAAGUACUUCUUAACCAUUUAAAUUACAUAUAAGCAAAUUUUUGCACCUGUCCUUAGUCAGGAAUCUGAUGUACAGUAGUUGUCGUUUGUCUAUGUAGUUCAUACGUGUUUCUCGUUCCUCGUUUUAAUAUUUAUUAUACCGUUGGUUUUCACGUUUGAAUGGUUUUACAUUACUAUUUUUUGGGGCCCUUUAUAGCUUGCUGUUCGGUGUGAGCCAAUACCUUGACCUAUACUGGUUUACUUUUAUAAAUUGUUAUUUGGAUGAAGAGUUGUCUCACUGGCACUCAUACCAUAUCUUCCUAUAUCUAUAUACAUUAUGAAUUUAUUUUGCAUUCAGGGCUUUAAGUAUACUAUGUUUACUGUAAACUUUCAAUUUAUGCUGAAUAAAGGCUACAAUAGUAUACUACUGUUCAAAAGUCAUUAAUCGAUUGAGGGAAAACAAAUCCGGGUUGCAAACUGAGGGAAACACAUCAACUAUAAGAGGAAAACAACCAAACAACAAAGACACUAAAGUGCAACAAAAAGACAACAAUGCAACACACACAGAAACGAAUUAUAAAAUAACAACUGCCAUUUUCCUGACUCGGAUUUUGUCUAAUGCUUAGUCCGUUUCUGUGUAUGUUACAUUUUAAUGUUGUGUCGUUGUUCUCCUCUUAUAUUCAAUGCGUUUCCCUCAGUUUUAGUUUGUUACUCCAAUUUUGUUUUUUGUCCAUAGAUUUACGAGUUUUGAACAGCGGUAUACUACUGUUGCCUUUAUUUGGUACAGGAGAUUUUAAGAAAAAAUGGUGGGUUCAUGUCAUCAUAUCUAAUGCCCUGUAUUUUCUCAAUCUUCAUAAAAUAUCUGUAAAAUUUUAUAAUUGAGUUAAUUUCAUUAAAAUCUCUGAGAUACACCAG